CCUACGGGGGGCAGCAGUGGGGAAUAUUGCACAAUGGGGGAAACCCUGAUGCAGCGACGCCGCGUGAGUGAAGAAGUAUUUCGGUAUGUAAAGCUCUAUCAGCAGGGAAGAAAAUGACGGUACCUGACUAAGAAGCCCCGGCUAACUACGUGCCAGCAGCCGCGGUAAUACGUAGGGGGCAAGCGUUAUCCGGAUUUACUGGGUGUAAAGGGAGCGUAGACGGCAGAGCAAGUCUGAAGUGAAAGCCCGCGGCCCAACUGCGGGACUGCUUUGGAAACUGCCCGGCUAGAGUGCUGGAGAGGUAAGCGGAAUUCCUAGUGUAGCGGUGAAAUGCUUAGAUAUUGCGCAGAACUCCGAUUGCGAAGGCAGCAUACCGGCGGCGAUCUGACGCUGAGGCACGAAAGCGUGGGUAUCGAACAGGAUUAGAUACCCCUGUAGUC
rnacentral:rRNA from 1 species